UACGUAGGGUGCAGGCGUUAAUCGGAAUUACUGGGCGUAAAGGGAGCGUAGGCGGAUAGUUUAGUCAGAGGUGAAAGCCCAGGGCUCAACCUUGGAAUUGCCUUUGAUACUGGCUAUCUUGAGUAUGGAAGAGGUAUGUGGAACUCCGAGUGUAGAGGUGAAAUUCGUAGAUAUUCGGAAGAACACCAGUGGCGAAGGCGACAUACUGGUCCAUUACUGACGCUGAGGCUCGAAAGCGUGGGGAGCAAACAGG
rnacentral:rRNA from 1 species